UACGUAGGUGGCAAGCGUUGUCCGGAUUUAUUGGGUUUAAAGGGUGCGUAGGUGGUUCCAUAAGUCAGUGGUGAAAUACGGCAGCUCAACUGUCGAGGUGCCAUUGAUACUGCGGAACUUGAGUACAGACGAGGUAGGCGGAAUUGACGGUGUAGCGGUGAAAUGCUUAGAUAUCGUCAAGAACACCGAUAGCGAAGGCAGCUUACUAGACUGUAACUGACACUGAGGCACGAAAGUGUGGGGAUCAAACAGG
rnacentral:rRNA from 1 species